GCGGAUGUGGCGGAAUUGGUAGACGCACUGGAUUUAGGUUCCAGCGCCGCAAGGUGUGAGAGUUCGAGUCUCUCCGUCCGCACCA
rnacentral:tRNA from 1 species